CGGGACGUGGCUCAAUUGGUAGAGCACCCGCCUGAUAAGCGGGAGGCUGGUGGUUCGAUUCCACCCGUUCCGA
rnacentral:tRNA from 1 species